UACGAAGGGGCUAGCGUUGCUCGGAAUCACUGGGCGUAAAGGGUGCGUAGGCGGGUUUUAAGUCAGGGUGAAUCCUGGAGCUCAACUCCAGAACUGCCUUUGAUACUGAAGAUCUUGAGUCCGGGAGAGGUGAGUGGAACUGCGAGUGUAGAGGUGAAAUUCGUAGAUAUUCGCAAGAACACCAGUGGCGAAGGCGGCUCACUGGCCCGGUACUGACGCUGAGGCACGAAAGCGUGGGAGCAACAGG
rnacentral:rRNA from 1 species